rnacentral:rRNA from 1 species
GACGUAGGGCGCAAGCGUUGUCCGGAUUUAUUGGGCGUAAAGAGCUCGUAGGCGGCUUGUCGCGUCGACCGUGAAAACCCGCAGCUCAACUGCGGGCUUGCGGUCGAUACGGGCAGGCUCGAGUUUGGUAGGGGAGACUGGAAUUCCUGGUGUAGCGGUGAAAUGCGCAGAUAUCAGGAGGAACACCGGUGGCGAAGGCGGUUCUCUGGGCCUGUACUGACGCUGAGGAACGAAAGCGUGGGGAGCGAACAGG